UCAUAACUCAAAUAAAAUUAAUGGGCUUUAAGAUAGAAGGACCUAGAAGAACUAGAAGAAGGUGAACCCAGCGGAGAUGCUCCCUCUUUUAUCAAGACUACGUGAUGUAAGGUUCUCAAUGAAAUCUGUAGCAGUUGGAUGGGUGGUGGUGAUUGUAGCAGGUGUGAGCUCGUUCAUCUGGUGCAAACGUGACAUCGAUCGUCGGAGAUUGGAGGAGCUGAAAGCAGAUCAGAGGGAGAGACGAAGCAGACGACCACUCACAAUAGGCAAUGCUGGAAGACAUUCUUAGCUCAUGCAUUCACUUCAUUUGUCGAGCACAUUUGCACCAUGGUAUAUUAAAUUGA